UACGUAGGGUGCGAGCGUUAAUCGGAAUCACUGGGCGUAAAGCGCACGUAGGCGGCUUUUUAAGUCAGGGGUGAAAUCCCGGAGCUCAACUUCGGAACUGCCUUUGAUACAGCACGUCUUGAGUCCGAUAGAGGUGGGUGGAAUUCCGUAGUGUAGAGGUGAAAUGCGUAGAUAUCAGGAGGAACACCCGUGGCGAAAGCGGCUCUCGUGGGACGGUACUGACG
rnacentral:rRNA from 1 species